GUUUUAUUAUUUUAAGUAAUCUUCGUAGCCAACGUGGGGCUCAAGCUCACGAUCCUGAGAUCAAGAGUCACUCCACCAACUGAGCCAGCCAGGUGCCCUUAGUUCCAGUUCUUCAUGACCAUGAAACAAAGGGGCUUGGAAGUUGGCACUCAAAAACGGCUGGCUCCAGAAGACCUGAAGCUCCCACAAGGUCAGGAAGGUAUGGAAUAUUUGAACAGAGCCUCACUCGUCCACCCACAUACCUGCUGGUGACGAUAGAUGCCAUACACUGCAGGAGGGACUGGCACAUUGAUGCUGUCAAAGACCAGUUUACUUCCAGACUUGCUGCUGUAGAGAUGAGCCAGUUCAGGCUCUGGACCCAGGAUGGGGAUGCCUAACAUAUCCGCCACGGCCAAAUCAUCUCUGUGGAGGAACCCGCCGACAAUGUAGGCCUCUUUUCCUUGGAUGAGAUUUUUUAUUCUUUUGAUCGCCUUGGGACUGUACAUCAGAUGCAAACCCACAAAGAUGCAAACCCACACUACGAAUGUGACUCAGCGCAUCGGUUAGUGCCAACUGCCUAUCUCUUGCUUAGAAGCUGAAGAGUGGUCUGCAGUGCAUAUGUCUCAGGUUAACAACAGGAUUGCAGAGCUGGGAAGGGCUUUGAAAUGCCCUAGCCAUCACCUGAUUGUAUGGACGAAGCUCAGAGGACCAGAAAGGUAAAGGGAGCUGCCCAAGCCACAGGGUCAUCCAGGAGCAAAGCAAUCAUUCUAGUUCCUGAUACUGUUCUGGGCUCAGACACAUUUUGGCUCACACUUUGAGCCCACCAGUAACUUUGGACCAGAACAGGAGACUUGGUUUCCCCAGCCAUAGAAAGAGAUUGGUCAUUUCUGUCAUGUUGCAUUGUUCUGAGGACCAAAUGAGAAAAUGUGUGCAAGCAUUUGAUAAAUAUUAGUUGUGCACUCACUUUCCUUCUCCCAAACUAGUGCUCCUUUCCUAGUCCAUGCCCCUUCGAUGUACAUGGACAUUUCAGAUGUACAGAAACUCCUUAUCAGCAGCUACCAGGCAUUAGCUCCAGUUUCUGGCUGGAUAAAAUCAGGAAAUGAACUACACACUAACAAUGGUUUUGUCUUCCCUGCUUUCUAAUGUCCACAGUGACCCUGCCAUUGAGGCCAGGGGUUAGCUAGCAAGCACCAAACAAUCCUUGCACUGAUGGAGGAUAUUGGGUUCCUAAUAGCAUAGGGGAUUAAGCAUUAUUCUGGAAGAUGUGCUAAGCAGCAUAUUCUGCAAGAGAAGAGUUCAUAUUUUUCAACACCAGCAAAAUCACCGGGAAUCAAGAUCAGAAAAACAUGAGGAAAAUUUCUGACAUUUAACGUGAAGGUUCAAAACAACGUUGAAGAAAAUUAUUGCUCAGGGUUUAAAACAAAAACAAAAACAAAACUAUGUUGGCUCGUUUAACUUGUGCUUUCUGUGGAGCAUUUUGAAGAUGUGUCCCCAGAAUCAUUCUAAACUGACACACAGACUUCAGAGACACCCCUUGCUGUCAGGAAUAUGUGUUUAAGUAAUUCUGAAUACUUAAGAAAUAUGCUUCUGCUCACCGGGUCAAAAGAAAUUUGAACCUUUUAAAGGGCAAUAAAGGUUAAUGCAGUUACUUUGUCAGUACUAAUAAAAGUCCUGUGGCUGGCCUUCAUGUUCACGGGAAACAGAGCAGGAGAAAAUUGCGUAUGGAUUACUGUUGUCCAAAAAUCUUUCACAAAAGAUGCAGUGGCGGCAACACUUUCUGCUGGCAUUUCAGGGGUUAAGAAAAUAAGUGGCUCAAAACAUGAACUUAAAAGGCGUGCGUACUCACAGGCAGGUAUAAUUGCUUAUAUGAAAUUCAACAACUGUAGGUGCAACUUUUUUUUUUUUUUUAAGUAAAAUUGCUUUUCACAUUUUGAAGAGAUGCUUCAAUGCCUCCUUGUGGUUAGUGAGCCCAAACACAUGUUUCAAGUGAAGCUGCUAUAGAUAAAGUGAUUUUAAAUAUUGCAUCUUUGAGAUGUGACACAGAUUUCCUUUUCGGCAUAAGGAAAACUAUAGCAAUUCAGGCAACAGGGCUUCAGAUCAAAUGCACUCUGAUAAUUGGCUCUUUGCUUUGAUGUCAGUGUUUAAACACUAGACAAUGUCUGGAAAUUAAAUGAGUGUACAAUUCAUCUUAAAGUCUCCCGUUUGCUUUAUGCAGAUGAACUUAAGGCAGAAGGACAAAUUAGGUGACUUAUUUUUGAAAAAUUAUUUAUUUCUGAAGUAGUUUCGGGAACUUCAUUCCACAUAUGAAAGUUAAUACAGACUGCUGCAAACAAUGCUGUCUUGAUGUGUGAUCGUUUUAACUUAUUGUAGGAUUUUCAAUAUUGUAUAAUUCUGUUGAUAUUCAGAUAACUGUUUAGGAAGAUGUAUUGUGAGUAACUCCUAUAUCAAAACUAUAAGAAGGCAGGAAAAAUGCCUAAAGGAUAAAGUAUGAGUAAGAAAAGUGCCUGAGAGCAUUCCAUGAAUGCAUUUCCUUUCAGAAGUAAAGAUAAAAGGCAGUGUGAGAUGUCUCAUUAAGAUGAUGUCCAAUUUAAAAUAUAAAGGAUGUCUGAUCACUUUGUUGCCGCGCGUGCAGCAUGUGAGUGAGUAAGUCUGUGUUGCAACCAAGAGCUGGAGGUCAGUUUUCCAACAAAUGACUUGGUACCUCUGUUACCAUUGAUCAGAAUGCGUAAUAAAAUGUCUAUGAAAAAUUAUGAUAGAACCGGUUACCAAUACACCUGUUUCAAAGAACUGAAAGCAAUCUCAGAACGUUGUUAUAGAGGAUCAUAUGAAGUAACAGAUAUGAAGACAUUUUGUAAAUGCUGUGUAAACAUAAGGUAUUUUGAUGUUAUGGGGGAUAGACAUACUUCCAAAGGCUAUAACAACGGCAACAACAAAUCCUGUGACAAGCAAGAGACCAUUCUACAUGGACAAGAUACAAUGUAAUGACUGUUGCCAUCCCCAGAGCAGAAGUUGGGAGUCAAUUUUUUUUAAGUCAGAUUUAUAAUUAUGUCUUUAAAAAAACUAAAAAAAAUUUUUUUUAAUGUUUAUUUAUUUUUG